CAAUAGCGUAUAUUAAAGUUGUUGCAGUUAAAAAGCUCGUAGUUGAAUUUCUGUCAGGAGUGACCGGGCCUUUGGAUGAACUUCCAUUGUUUUUUGCUCUGUUUGUCAUCUCUAGACAUCCUGAAAUAUUUUUUAAAAAUAUUUCUCUUUUACUGUUAGCAAAAUAGAGUGUUCCAAGCAAAGCGUAGUUUUGAAUACAUUAGAAUGGAAUAAUAAGAUAGGACUUUGGUGCUAUUUUGUUGGUUUGCACACCAAGGUAAUGACUAAUAGGGACAGUUGGGGGUAUUCGUAUUUAAUUGUCAGAGGUGAAAUUCUUGGAUUUAUGAAAGACGAACUACUGCGAAAGCAUUUACCAAGGAUGUUUUCAUUAA
rnacentral:rRNA from 1 species